AGAGGUGGUGGUUCCGGCAUCAAU
rnacentral:siRNA from 1 species